UGUAAACUGUGGGUGUCUAGUGCCUGCUACUCACACCUAUAGCCUGGAGGAAAUUCAGAUCUGAAAGAUCUAGAAUUUUAAUAAAGUGAAAAAAUCAACUCUGGCAAACCCAGAAGUUUGAACAGCAAGUCUGCAAUAUCUUUGACAUUACUACCCUGAAGCAUCAAGUUUUACCUGCCAUUUUGUAAUGUGGCUAUGUGAGUGUUUUCCUUGCGGGAACAUCAUAUUAAGAAAGAGCACCAGUGACAUCAGGAUGGCAGUGUUUUAUCUUUCAAGUGAAUUGAAUUUAAGCAAGGCUCAGACCUGAGCAGAGAUAAAAGCCUCAUUCUCUCUUUGAGUCAUCAAAAUCCUUAUGUCAAGAUUAUUGGUGAUAGCUAUUUGGAAAAAGCUUCUGAAGAAAAAAGUAAGUUCCUAACUACAGCCUGGCUUGUAAUUGUUUAAUAGUUCACUAAUGAGGCUUGGAUCAGAAGAAAUGGAAUUUCUUUGGGGCUUGAGCUCGACUAACUGGUAAGCUUUGGGAUGGUCAAAUUUUCCCUAACUCUCAUGGGAGAGUUGACAGAGAAAUCUGAAGGAAACACCUGUUUUUGUACUGUGUAGUACACAAAACAAAUUGCAAUAGCCAAUCCUACUUUAUUCUCCAGCAUCCCUAGAAGACAUCUCAACUUUAAGUACAGAAGUAUCUAACUACUGCCAACUAGUCCAGGUUGAGAAUGAGAGGCUCUCAAGACUCUACUGAUAUAGAAGCUGAUUGUCUUAUCAUCACACUCCUUAAAGCUUAUGUCUUCAGCAGCUUGGAUGUGGACUAAUUUAUUGCACUUACUUCCUUCUUUCAUCAGAAAAUGAAGUGAAUUAAUCCAAAAUAGGUUCUGAAUUAAUAAAAGUUCCCAUUACUUUAGGAAUAAAAAGAA